UCCCGGUUAGCUCAGUCGGUAGAGCGUGCGACUCUUAAUCGCACGGUCGAGGGUUCGAGCCCCUCAUUGGGAA